rnacentral:rRNA from 1 species
GAUGAACGCUGACAGAAUGCUUAACACAUGCAAGUCAACUUGAAUUUGGGUUUUUACCUUAGGUUUGGGUGGCGGACGGGUGAGUAACGCGUAAAGAACUUGCCUCACAGCUAGGGACAACAUUUGGAAACGAAUGCUAAUACCUAAUAUUAUGAUAAUAGGGCAUCCUAUAAUUAUGAAAGCUAUAAGCGCUGUGAGAGAGCUUUGCGUCCCAUUAGCUAGUUGGGAAGGUAACGGCUCACCAAGGCGAUGAUGGGUAGCCGGCCUGAGAGGGUGAUCGGCCACAAGGGGACUGAGACACGGCCCUUACUCCUACGGGAGGCAGCAGUGGGGAAUAUUGGACAAUGGACCGAGAGUCUGAUCCAGCAAUUCUGUGUGCACGAUGAAGUUUUUCGGAAUGUAAAGUGCUUUCAGUUGGGAAGAAACAAAUGACGGUACCAACAGAAGAAGUGACGGCUAAAUACGUG